rnacentral:misc_RNA from 1 species
CCGAGUUAGGGUCCCCUCGUGGGGCCCGACCUCCCAACCCCGUGUCUACCAAACUUGUACGUGUUGCUUCGGCGGACCGGCGUCGUGUCUUCGGGCACGACCGCCGCCGGGGGACCCCCGGCCGCUUCACUGCGGUCGCCCCUGGAGAGCGUCCGUCGAUGGCCCAACCAAACAAACUCCCAAAACCAAAAUUAUGUGAAACAACCUUCUGAAUCAGACCUUUUGAUAUACCAAUCAAAAACA